AUCCUUGUAUGAAAUCAUCAUCUUUUAAUGAAUUGGCGUCAUCUAUUUUAUCACUAAGCUUCAUCUCGUCAAAUGAACAAGAUAAAGUAGAGCCAGUGACAGAAUUGGUAUCAUCGAUGGGCGUACAGGAAGAAGAGAGGAAAUUGCUGGACGCAGAAGAAACUGUAGUACUCGUUGCGCCCUGCGAAGUAGGGGGAAGUGUAUUGAGCAUGUUUGAAUGGUUUAUUUUUAUUACUGCCUCGUCAUACAAGGACUUUCGCUGAUCUGCCCAACCAACAAUCGUAUUGAAAUAGCCAGCCGUUUCAGGCUCCCAGUAUUCAUCCUUCUCUUCAAUCAGUUUUAAAGUUUUAAUGGACUCCCUUGAUUUAGUUUGAAGUGAACAAGCAUUCAUUUGGUCAGCCAGGUGCAAUAAGAUUGUGCGAUUACCUUCCGACAAAACACUCUGACAACUUCUUCUUUGAGAGUUUGACAUAAUUUUAACAGUUUUAUUAAUUUUUCUUGGUUUUAAAAUACGUUUAAAAGAUCUACGGAUCUUCCCAAAGAUUCUGUUUUUUCUUUUGUUAGAAGAGGCAGUCAACGCAACAGGCUUCUGUGGGACGGUUUGCUGAAGUAUAAUAAGCCUACCGGUUUUAUCGAUAAGCAUGGUGCAAUUAGGAAAAACUGUUCUUUUAGACUCAGGAAUUUCUGUACAGCGAGAUUCAGCCCACACCCACCAUAUGUUUGUAUUAGUUGUUACUGUAGUAAGACUUUCAAAUGAGCAAUGAGAAAAUAUCUCAAAAUCGACA